rnacentral:rRNA from 1 species
AUUGAACGCUGGCGGCAUGCCUUACACAUGCAAGUCGAACGGUAACAGGUCUUCGGAUGCUGACGAGUGGCGAACGGGUGAGUAAUACAUCGGAACGUGCCCAGACGUGGGGGAUAACGAGGCGAAAGCUUUGCUAAUACCGCAUACGAUCUAAGGAUGAAAGCAGGGGACCGCAAGGCCUUGCGCGUUUGGAGCGGCCGAUGGCAGAUUAGGUAGUUGGUGGGAUAAAAGCUUACCAAGCCGACGAUCGGUAGCUGGUCUGAGAGGACGACCAGCCACACUGGGACUGAGACACGGCCCAGACUCCUACGGGAGGCAGCAGUGGGGAAUUUUGGACAAUGGGCGAAAGCCUGAUCCAGCAAUGCCGCGUGCAGGAUGAAGGCCUUCGGGUUGUAAACUGCUUUUGUACGGAACGAAAAGGCUCUGGCUAAUACCUGGGGCACAUGACGGUACCGUAAGAAUAAGCACCGGCUAACUACGUG